rnacentral:tRNA from 1 species
GGAGGAUUACCCAAGUCCGGCUGAAGGGAACGGUCUUGAAACCCGUCAGGCGUGUAAAAGCGUGCGUGGGUUCGAAUCCCACAUCCUCCU